CCUACGGGGGACAGCAGUGGGGGAUAUUGGACAAUGGGGGGAACCCUGAUCCAGCGACGCCGCGUGAGUGAAGAAGUAUUUCGGUAUGUAAAGCUCUGUCAGCAGGGAAGAAAGCAAUGACGGUACCUGACCAAGAAGCCCCGGCUAACUACGUGCCAGCAGCCGCGGUAAUAAGUAGGGGGCAAGCGUUAUCCGGAAUUACUGGGAGUAAAGGGGGCGUAGACGGCUAGGCAAGGCUGGAGUGAAAGGCGGGGGCUCAACCCCCGGACUGCUCUUGAAACUGUGUGGCUGGAGUGCAGGAGAGGUAAGCGGAAUUCCUAGUGUAGCGGUGAAAUGCGUAGAUAUUAGGAGGAACACCAGUGGCGAAGGCGGCUUACUGGACUGUAACUGACGUUGAGGCUCGAAAGCGUGGGGAGCAAACAGGAUUAGAUACCCGAGUAGUC
rnacentral:rRNA from 1 species